rnacentral:rRNA from 1 species
UUAAUUGAAGAAUUGAAUGAACGAAUUAAUGAAAUAAUUACUGUCUCUAAAUUAUUUAAUGAAUUUAAAUUUUUAGUUAAAAUUCUAAAAUUUAAUUAUGGGACGAUAAGACCCUAUAGAAUUUUAUUUAAUUUAUUAUUUAAUUUAAAUUAUUUAUAAAUAAAUAAUAAUUUAAAUUUGAUUGGGAGGAUUAAUAAAUUUAAUAAACUUUAUUUUUAAAUUUAAUUUUGAUUUAAAGAUAUAAAAUGAUUUAUAAUUUAUAAAUAUAAGAAUAAAUUACCUUAGGGAUAACAGCGUAAUAUCUUUUGAUAGGUCAUAUUGAUAAAGAUGAUUGCGACCUCGAUGUUGAAU